UCGCACCUGUUCCAGUCACCAUAUAUACCCAACGUUUUACGCGUGUAACGCGGUAUCCACCUCCUCCUUCAACCUCACCUCUCACCUCUCACCUCUCACCCUCUUCCACCCUCUCUCAUCCUCUCCCUUCUACCCAAAAAAAAAAAGAGGUGGAAAAGCUUCUGCUACGUCUCGACGGAAGAUUCGAAAACGGAAAGAUCUCGGAGCUGUCCUCGUUCGAAUCUUUUCGGGGAAUAACUUGGCAUAUUUCAAAAUGGCGGCAUUUUAGAUAAGAAAGUAUGUAAAUGACAGCUGGCAUCCAUCUUUCGGAGACAAACCGAAUGCGACACCGUAAAUAUAGACAUAAAAAUUCGACCUUCUCCGUUUCACCGGUUACGUGGUAUUACAACCUUUGAUAUUAAAAUUUAACCUUGUGAGAAAAAAAGAAAUAUUAAC